GUGAAUCAUCAAAUUUUUGAACGCAAAUUGCACUCUCUUCGGAUAGUAUGCCUGUUUGAGUGUCAGCCUAAAAAAAUUCGAAAUAGUUGCUGUUACUCUUUAACAUUCGUCGUAACUUGGGUCUGCUUAAACCUUUGGGUUUAUGCCUCUUAAAAUUUUCUUUACGAUUCCAAGUACGCUUCUAAG
rnacentral:misc_RNA from 1 species